rnacentral:miRNA from 1 species
UCUCAAAAAUUGUUACAUUUCAG